UUUUUUUUUGUUUUUUUCCUUUCGCGAGAGUCAUGGUUUUGCUUUCGCAAGAUGCACGGUUUUGCUUUCGCGAGAGUCACGGUCGUGCCUCUCGGAAACGAAAAAACGCGUUUUCUAUUUUUUUCCUUUCAGGAGAGUCACGGUUUUGCUUCCGUGAGAGGCACAGGUGUGCUUUCACGAGAGUCACGGCCGUGCCUCUCGGAAACAAAAAAAAACACGUUUUUUGUUUUUUUCCUUUCGCGAGAGUCACUGUUUUGCUUUUGCGAGAGGCACGGGUGUGCUUUCGCGAGAGUCACGGCCGUGCCUCCUUGAAAAUGAAAAAACGCGCUUUCUUUUCUUUUUUUCCUUCCGCGAGAGUCACGGUUUUGCUUCCGCGAGAGGCACGGUUGUGAUUUCGUGAGAGGCACACGCGUGACUCUUUCGGAAAGGGAAAAAACCCGUGCUUCCGGUUCGGUUUUUUCGUUCGACUUUUUUCGUAAAAAAAAGUUCGUCAAAACCUAUCAACAUGGGAUCUAAUUUUGAAGAUCUCGACGCGAGGAGUCCAACAGUGAAAGCAGUUUGAGAGUUGGACGCACGGUUUGAGAAAUAAAACGUUUUGAAUAAAUGGAUGUACUAAAAAGGGGAAGACUCUUAGGUUGCGACAAAUGGCGCACAUGCAGCGCGCCACUUGUCACAACCUGGAGAGUUGGAGUGAUCUUUGCAACGAGGUCCUCAACUAGUGAUUUCGCCGAAUAGGCUGAAUCCUACGCGGGCCAACAGGCUAAACGUGCCGCCAGACGGGCCCAUUUACUAAGGGGGCCAUGGCUGGGCUGAGGAGUGCAGUAUGCGGUAGCCGGCCCGUUUAGCCUAGGACGGACGUGCCGUUCCGUGCCUGGCCCGUUUAGGCUAGGACGGGCCUGCCGUGGCCCGUAACUGCAUUCCCCCGUGCCUGGAACCACGCCCCCUCCCCCCUUCUCGGCGGCAGUGACCGCAGCGACCUCCGGGCUCCGCGACUCGUCGGAGAGAAAGGCGAAUCGGAAUCCCCCGCAGAGGGGGAGCGCCGCCCUGGAGAGCACCCGCGGUAGCAGCGAGCGACAGCAGCGAGCGACAGCAGCGAGCGACAGCAGCGAGCAGCGCGCUGCCCAAUGCUGCUCGGCGUCGCCGGAGGGGCACCACACAUGGCAGGGGAAGGGGGAAGCACCCGCGGCGGCGGCUCCGCCCCGGCGACGGCGCGAGCUCGUCUCCCUCCUCCUCACUGGCCUCGCCGCCUCCACCCGCGUCUCCAACGCCAGGCCUCCGCAGCCGCUCGACACGGCCCACACCUCAUGGACGCCGGUGAGUCCCUCGGAACAUCAGUCGCCGCCGUCGAUCUCAGUAAGCCCGCAUGUUUCUUGUAGAAACGGCUGGAUUUGGCUUGCCUAGAAACGUCCCCGUCGUGCUCGUUGAUUCUUCCGUACGACAACCCCGAUGCCGCCUACUGGUUGAACACAGUGUGUAAGCUCGCUCGCUCGAAUUUGACUUGUCCUGCGUGCUCGGGGAGUUCACCCGGUCCAAACCUCCCGCCGGCUUUUCACCGGAAACUUCGGCAGAAAUUUUUCAUACGAACUUCAGUGGAAAUGACGGCUGCAUUUCUUGAUUUCCUCCUGCCCAUUUGACUUGCGUGAACCCGUGGAAUAAAUAAAGCUUUUUCCUGUGCCGUCUUUCUUUGGUUUGUCUAGGAGGUCUCGCAGCAAGCAAUUUAUUCGGGUAAAACAUCGCCUCUUAUUCUACUAGCUAGCACAUCCAUGUCCAUGGCGUACCACUGAGACGAGCAACAGAGGCUUUUCCUUCUGCAAAGCUCGCCCAAUUGAUAGAUGGAUGCGGCAGUGGCGCUGUGCGAUUCAAGGCUUUCAGGUUCAUGUUCCAAGAACCUGCAACCUGUGCGCUUCUAACCCAAACUCAUCUUUUAUUUCUCCAACCAGGAUCAUGCAGGUCUUCUCUUAUCCACAGUUUCCUGUUCCCUUUUUCAUAUCUGGAGUAGUGGAGUACAAGUUGAUUUGCUGACGCUUUAUUCUAAUCUGGCUACGUGGUGGUGCUAUUCCUUAGGUGGCUUCUGGUGUUGGUAAUGCGAAUCAUACGGCUUAGGUUCCUGCUCUGCCCAUGUGCUGGAAUCUAUCAUUCUACAGAAGCAACAAUUGUUAUAGCUGUUCACAUCUGACUAUGCAACCCCAAAUGAACUAGUCUUUUUUGCAGUUGCUUGCUCCACCAAGGCGCAUUUUUUUUUCAUUUUCCGUCUAUAUUAUACGUCUCAUGGGGUCAAACACUUGUUUGGUGCCGGGUGAUUUCCCUCCGUACUGGUGUGAUUCUCUUUAGAUUAAUUUCUUGGAUAGUCUUGCGGAAGCUCCCGUGUCCUUGUCCUUUUCAUGUUGUCGGCAGGGCCUAAUUCUGCCGUCAACAUGUCUUGGUUGCACCAUGGAACCAGAUUCUUUUCAAGUCUGACCUUCAUAAGGAGAUCACAUCGUUAUUACUCUGGAUAGAGAUGCUAGUUCAUUGGUCAUGAUAUUUACAGGGAAAUUACUUUAGCUGGCUGCUGUUGGUAUACCAUAAGGCUUUAUUUCCUGCUCUGCUCUUCUGGCCAUGUGCAUGAAACUAUUCCUGCUGUAGUCAUGUGUCCCAUGAGGAUUAUUCUGUAGAGUGACAAUUAUUACAGCUUUUCAUAUCUGACUAUGCAAAUUUAAGCGGAUUAGUUCUUGGCAGCUGCUUGCUUCAGGAAGGUGCAGUUCUCCUAUUUUUUCUGUAGAGCCUGUGGUCUUGUUUUUCCCUGCACGAGGUCAAAUUUGUUUGAUAGUGCCUAACUUCCUCCAGUAGUUCAUACUAGUUAGAUUUACCAUUUUUAUUCGACAUUCCCGCAAAAACUCUGGUGUCCUUAUCACUUUAAUGUUGUCUGCAGGGACUAGCUCCACCAAUAAGAACUCUCGGUUCCACCUUGGUCCAUGGAGCCAGAUCCUUCUAAAAUUGAUUAAGUUUGACAUUCAGAAAGGGACAGCAUUUUUGUCUUGAAGCGGGUGUUGGUUCCUGGCCACGAUGGUUGCAGGGAAAAGAGCAUAGGUGUGUAGCAAUUAUCUCUCAGUUAUUUUACUCGCUUCCUUGUUGAUUUCUCUGGUGACUCCAUGAGCAUUUAGUAGGCUCUCUCUUAAACAAGGUACGACGCUUGAGCAUCUUUCUGCAAACUUUGUGUGGUUGUGUGGCUUUUCUGUUGCAACCUAUCGAGUUCCCUUGUUUCAUGGCAAGAUUUUGCUAUUUGUCAGUACCUGAUUGAUGCAGUUCAAAAAUCUAAAUACUUAUUUUCUUUCUCUAUUAGUCUUUUACAUCGGACUCAUUUGUUAUUGAACAGGUUUUAUGACGAGUCAUUCUUGAUUAUUCUUGCAUCCAUUCUAUUUUGACAGGUUUUGACAAUUGGGUUUCCAUUCCUUUAAAUUCUGUGUGUAACUUUAGUAUCUCUGAACUUUUUUUCAAAUGUCUUUAGAUGCUCAAAAUCUUUUCUUUUGAGCUGUGGACUCGAAUCCCUUGCUUCCAGUGAAAGAGGAAUGCUUCACCUUUCACUUCAUCUUAGCUAUCCAUUUUAAACGAAUGAGUCAAUCGAAUCUUGAUCCAUUGCAGCUUAGGUGACAGUUUAGGGAGGACACUGAACUUCAUGAGAAAUAGUCUACGAAUUUGGGCAGCUACUGCACUCUUACUACAUGGAAGUGUGAACUACCAUGACAAGGCGCAGGUGCUAUUGCAGCAGAUCACAUGUUGCAUGGCAGCAAAGGCAAAGAGUUGGUAACUCUAUGCUGUAACUUUAAUGGGUGACUGUUCCUCUGUUAGUGCGAAGGAUGUCGUGAUCUCUGGUCAUCUACAUUUGCCGCGCUGUCACCGCAUAAUGUGAAGGUGUUAGGAUGAUGAAAGGGAGGGUUGCUGAGGUAGCUGACAUAUGUACAGAUGAUAAUGUCAUACAUUCAGAGAGUUGGAUGUGAAAGAGGAAAAAUGGGAUCUUGAGCGAAACAUCUGAUUGUCUUUUGUUUGAUGAGACAGGAACACAUUGCCUAUAUUGCUUUGGACCAUUCUUACUCAAGUUGUGGCAAACUUUGGUAUCCGACCAAACACCCCUCAUAUCUUGGCCCUUUGUUCGUUAUGGAUAUCUUAGAAAAAUGGAAAGGCAUAACAUGCCUAUUUUAUCUAGAGAUAGUUGGUAAGCUUACUAGAUAAUAAAAUGCCGCACUUGCCUAAAUGAACCAUGUGGAUUUUAUUAUGGAUAAAUUUAUAUCUAUAUCUACUAGUAUUAGUAAGUGAGGAGAAAUUUGUUCUCCCCCUCAAAAUGAGAGAGGGGAGAAAUUUAUUUCAUAGGAGUAAUUUAUAUGGAACAAAUACUCACUUUUUCUUCUCAAUGCUUGGUUGGAUUGAAUCACAAGGUAUGGAUUGUGACACGCAGAUCAUUAAUUAAUAAUUUUUCUUUUUUUAUAUACGAACACCCUUCAAUUUCACCAUUCCUUUUUUUUUUUACUUUUUACCACUCCCACAGUUAACCCGUAUUAACGUGGUCUUUCUAGACAUUUCCACCGUCUUUCUCUCUUGCUCUUUUCCAGCCAUUUUUUUCUCGUCAUUUCUAGUCCUCUCUCUUCCCAAAAUUUCUCUUCCUUGCUGUAUUACACAAGUAAGCCUCGUCGGCUCACUACCACCUUGUUCCUCGAUGCUGGGUGUUGUCACCUAUUUUCCUUGUGCCACACACUCGUUUCCUGUCCGGCUCCGGUGUGCAAGCCACCCCACCACAGCAGAGUGGAGGUGCACACAAGAAGGCACCGGAGUGCAGCUGGACGCCCAGCGUGAGAUUUCACUAGGCAGCAAGGAAUCGACUGAGCCAUCAAGGAGCGAAGAGGCGCGAGCAGCUUCCCUAUACUCUAAUUUUAGGACUCACGAAAUGACAUAUAUCUUUUAGGACUUGAAAUCUCACCUGCAAGUAGAUAGCGUUCAUCUCCCCAAUAAACGCAUGACAAAUCUUGCUAUUGAAAUUCUUGCCACAAAAGAUCUGUUUCCAUCUGUGGUGUACAAAUUGCGUUUUCCGCCAAAAAGGUUAAAAAGAUCAGUUAUUGGUGCUUCUCCAGAUGUAGCAUCCGCGUGGAGAAGAUGAACUCUCCACGAGAGCCACACUUGGCGUUGCAAACGUGAGCCCAUGAAUUUGACUACUUUAGCCCUCCUUUCCCUUUCCCCUACCUCUAUCCCACCCUCCCAGUCCCUAGCACAUCUUCUUUGUUCUUCUUCACUCCUCCCAUCCUCCAUUGCUCACCAUCUUGACUCCGUCUUGUACCCAAUCAGCACAAACGCCCGAUUGCUUCCUAUCUGUUUAAUUUGCUUCUUGUGGCUGCAGGCACCACCUUUUGGCCUUGGCGUGCAGACUUUGGAUAUAAUCCCGAUUAGCUUAUCGCAUCCUCGCUAAUUGGUAACUUGGUGUGAACUCAUUAAUUUCCAAGCAAUCAUGUGCUGUGGAGUUUUCUUCUUAUUCAGUUCAGCAGAUAUUUACUGAAUAAUUCUCCAAUCUAGCACGUCAUAUACUUGUAUGUCUAGCUUGAACUUAACACUGCCUCAUUCGUAUCUAGUUAUUUGGAUUGAUAUUUUCUAGGUGGCUUUGAAAGUUGACACGGAGCUCAUUUCCUCCCAUUCCGAACAUUGAUUAUGAUGGUCAUUUGCUUCAAAUUAUGUUGCCAUAUUGACUAUUGUUUUGUGUGAUGGAAACAGCCUCUUACCGAAAUGUAGGGAAAGGCUGCGUACAAUAGACCCAAAGUGAUCCCCGGACCCUGCGCAAGCGGGAGCUACAUGCACCGGGCUGCCCUUUAUUGUUGUGUGUGAUGGUAGUAAUACAAACUAAUCCGUUCAAUUAUUCCAUUUCUGUUACUUGAACUUUAUUGGUUUCGCUGUGCUGCUUGCUCAAAGUUUGUUUGCCGAUCUAAUGCUUUUCUAUCAAUCUUCUGUUAGACUUGUCCAUUAUCAUCAGAAGAGAAUAACAAUCUUCCGCUUUACUGUGGUUUAGCUCUUGGGAAUUGCUUAAGUUCUUCUGUGACAAUUCUUCUUGAUCUUUUCUUCUCCAGUAGUUUGCGGAAGCUAUUCCGUUGUAAAUUUGCUUCUUCAUGGUAACAUAUAUGGCUUAUUUAUUUCUGAACUUGCUUUCUGAUUGAUUUAUUUUUACUAGAUUAAUCAUUUGAUAAUCCCUCUUAGGUACAUCUGCCCUCCAACUUUUGCAUUGCUUUUAUAAUGCGCCUGGUUUUAACAAAUUUGGCGAUACAUGAAUUAGUGUUAUUUCUCUUGGCUUAUCCUUUUUUUUCUGUGUAAUUGACUACCUAGAAUUUUCCCUCACACAUGCUCUAUAUAUUGUUUUUGCUUCAGAUGUUUAUAGAAUUCAAGAUUCUACCAACAUUGUCGUUCGUCAUUCUUCUGUUCAUGCAUUCUGAAAUUGUGAUCUUUUAGGUAACAUUGGGCAUGGAGUUCUUCACAGAAUAUGGGGAGGCAAGCCAGUAUCAGAUCGAAGAGAUCAUUGGCAGGGGAAGCUUCGGAGUAGUUGCUGCUGCAGUAGAUACCCAAACUGGGGAGCGGGUUGCGAUCAAGAAGAUACAUGAUAUGUUUGAGCAUGCCUCAGAUGGCACCCGCAUUCUUUGGGAAAUCAAGCUUCUUCGGCUUCUCCGCCACCCAAACAUAGUUGAGAUCAAACACAUCCUGCUCCCCCCUGCCCGAAGGGAGUUUAGAGAUAUUUAUGUUGUUUUUGAGCUCAUGGAGUCGGACCUACAAAAAGUGAUGCAAGUAAAUGAAAACCUCACUGCAGGGCAUCACCGGUAUUUCUUGUAUCAACUUCUUCAUGCCCUCAAGUACAUCCAUGCAGGUUAGUUCAGAAACCGUCGGCGUAUCAUUCACCUUAUCAUCAGCAAUCACGUCUUAUCAAGUGUGAAUCCUUUGUACAGUCUUAUUUUGAACUCUCAUGAAACCCUGUCUUACUUUUCUGCGUAUGAUUUAUCUUGUCGCAGCUAAUGUAUUUCAUCGUGACUUAAAACCGAGCAACAUACUUGUCAAUUCGAACUGCAAACUAAAGAUCUGUGACUUUGGGCUUGCACGAGCAUCGCGUGAUGAUCCUCCCUUGGCUAUAUUUUGGACUGUAAGGCGUUUGUCGCUGUAUUAAGUAGUUAUUUUCUAUUUCUCUCCUCAAGUUACUUACCUAGUGCACUUUGCAAUUUGAAGGACUAUGUGGCUACAAGGUGGUACCGUGCUCCUGAAUUAUGUGGCUCAUUUUUCUCCAAAGUAAGUUGGUGUCUGUUUGUUUGAGGCCAAGUUUGCCUAUGGUUGACACACAUCACACACCUAAGGUUGGGCAAUUUAUUGACGUAGGUAGGUCUUUGGUUCAAGCCACACCUUCGGCAGGAUUCUUUUUCCACCAAUAAGGUCCCACAUGCCAUACACUUACAAAGUGUGGCAAGAUUCCCUUAGGCUCCAAUUUCGUUGAACUAACCUUAGGCAAGUUUGGCAAAAAAAAUUGUGCAAAGUGUGACAUUGUUAAUUCUAGAACGAAACAGCCCCUUAGUCUUCAAUUCUGAGCGCACUAUAGUCAAUAAUACAGAAAGGAAGCCUCUUGCAGUACUAAAUCUGUACGCCGUUGUUGCUUGUUAUUGCAGACUUGUUUCCAAUGCAUGAAUCAUUCUAAUGCUUUAAAUGUGUAUAUAAUGUUUUUUCUUUCCGAAGGGCACAUAAGUGCUGGUCAUUGUAGUAGAAGAAAAAUGCCAAGAAGGCAGAUGUCUCACACUGCCAAGAAACGCAAAAUAGAAAACAAAAGAACUGUAAAUGUCCUAGACUAUGGGCUAUGGCUCAAGGCAAAGGCUCAGGAGGGUGUCCGUGUUGUGGCAAGGCCCUCAGCACCUUGGCACCAGGCAUCAUCCAGAGAUGGGCUUCGGUGAGACUGGCGUCCACCAACUCCAGUGCAUCAUCAAAUACGAAGUGUUGUGCAGCCUCCAUAGCCGCCACAUUGUGAGGAUGAUGAUCGAGUGCUCUCCGUUGGAUCUCUGAGCACCAGCUCUCUCCACAGCAACUUCAAACCAGGUGGGGAAAUUAUCACCGGGCUGUGGGCAGAGAUGCUGGAGCGAGAAGUAGCUUAGGACCGAGUGCCAGAUCUGAUGUGCGGAGGCGCACCCUGUUAACAGAUGCGAGUUUGUCCCGUCGUCCUGGUCGCACAACGGGCAUUGAUUAGGGCUGGGUAGGCCUCGCCUUUGGAGACGGUCAACACAGUUGGCUGCUGCUAGCCCUGCAAAGACUUUGCAUUUCAGAGGAGCCCAGCUACCCCAGAUUGGUGCUGAGAGUGGUUUUUAGACACCGCCGGCGAAAAGAGCCAUGUAAGCAGAUCGAGGGUUGUACUGGCGGGAGGCGGAGAUAGUCCAGACGUACUGGUCGUCGCGUGUCGGCGGAGAGGAUAGGGCUGCCGACGAUCUCCACAAGGUGGAGUAACUCCAUAAUGCCCUCCACAAUGAGGGCGCUUGAGAUAUCAUGGAUCCAGUGUCCUUCAGUGCAUGCUUCACUCACCGUGCGGCGAUUGAUGACACGCAUGCUGACUGCAGCAGGUACCAUGGGGGACAGAUCGGCCACUGACAUCCUGUUAUUCACCUGUCCAACCAAAAUAGGGUACGGCGGCCGUCGCACAACAUGACCUUGCUCGCUGCACGAAGGAGACUGUCGACAUGCCUUCCAUCUUAAUAGGGAGUGAGCCCAUGGCUUGGAUGGGCCAAUGCUUGGAGCCAAGGCCACCUACUCCUCAGAGCCCAGCCCAUCUUCCUCGUAUCUGCAAUGCCCAGACCACCGAGCUUGACCAGGCGGCACACGUUUCGCCAAGCCACGGAGCAGUUGCCACCUUUCGCCUCACAAUGAACUCGCCAAAAGAAAUUGCAUGUUUUCUUGUCGAAUCGCUCGCACACUCCCCCAGCCGUCAUAGUGUGUGUAUGAUGUUAUCUUACCAUAUUAUUAAAACAAGUUAACGGCCACCACAUAUCGCUCUUAAGGGGGGUUAGAAAUUCUCACAUUAAUCGGAGUGGAAAGCGACAUUUCAACGCCAUUUAUUUUGGUGGUCUCAAAUUGUAACGGUGCAGAUUAAUCUGAUAAAUAUUAACGCUAUUACAGUUGUAUAAGGAUUACAACUACAUUUGUACUAACAAGUGUUGAGAGUUAUGCAGCAAAUACAGCUGUGCUUUCAAAUGUGAACAUGCGCUUUAGUAUCUAACCACUCAGGAAAUAUCUUUGAAAAAACACCUUUAGAAAGUAUCCAAAUGCAGCCGAUUAUGGCGAAAACUGAAGCAGUAAAGUGGCACCAAUUUUCCUUUCUAAACAUGCAAAUUUUGCUGAACUUAUCUUCUUGCAGUGGACACUUGUAGAAUCAUUAUUUGCAAAGCUCUUGAGACCCCCUCCCCCCAAAUUUCCUACAUCACCAUGAACGCUGCUGAUUUUCUCUGUACAGUACACCCCUGCAAUUGAUAUUUGGAGCAUAGGGUGCAUAUUUGCUGAAGUUCUCACUCGAAAACCAUUAUUUCCUGGGACGAAUGUCAAGCACCAACUAGAUCUGAUAACAGAUGUCCUUGGAACUCCAUCACAUGAAACCCUGUCCCAGGUAUGUCUACAUAUCAUCCAUUCACGAGUGGACACAGAUUUCACUGUUUUCCUGUUUUUUGUUAGUACCAUACUGGUUGAUUUUUACUGGUGGUUUCUUUAAAAUAAGCAUAUAUAGACUUGGCCACAGAUAGAAUUCUGGCUUUCUGUAAAAUGCAAUACAAUGUGACAGAACUACUUCCCCAACCUGGCUCACAAACGCACGACUUCUAUGUGGUUGGUUCUCUAAGUAAAUCGUUUCCUAGAUAGUAACCUGUUUGAGAUUUUUGCUACUUCUAGCACAUGCCAUUGCACAGUAGUGCUCAGGCAAUGAAUUUUAACAUGGCUAUAACAACUGCAGAUUCGUAAUGAGAAGGCCAGGAGAUAUUUGACUGGCAUGAAGAGGAAACAUCCUAUCCCCUUUCCUAGUAUGUUUUGUAACGCUGAUCCUCAGGCUGUCCGUCUCCUAGAACGCUUACUCGCAUUUGAUCCUAAAGAUCGACCUACUGCUGAAGAGGUAUAUUUUUGACAAAAAAGAGUUCUUGCUUUUAUGAUGACUGAUUCCGAAAUCGAUGAGUACAUAAAUUUAAUAUUUUAUAUAUGUAUUCUAGGCUUUAGCUGAUCCAUAUUUUGAAGGAUUUCCUAACUUGGAACAUGAGCCUUCACCACACCCCUUUUCAAAACUUGAGUUCGAAUUUGAGAGAUGGAAGCUAACAAAGGAUGGUAUAAGAGAUCUGAUAUACCGAGAGGUAGAGAACCAUCACUUCAGUGUAUGUUUUAGGCUGACUAUAUCCGUCUAACUUAAAAUUGGAUUUUUCCUUUUCUUGAAAGCAAACAGAUUUUGGAGUACCACCCACAGAUGCUUCAGGAUUAUAUCAGAGCUGGAGGACAGACUAGUUUCGUCUAUCCAAGGUUAGGUUGUUUUGCCAUCUGCUGCCAGCACACCAGCACUAGUGUAGAUGCUUAGCAUACACAUGAAAUUGUAUAAUUUGUAUGCCCAUGUCACAUUUUGUUUUCACACAGAAAUCUUUAGGACUUAGGAUGUCUAACCUAGUUUAAUACCCCUUAUCAGCGGUAUAAUCUUGCUCAUAAUCUAAUACUACCACGUUGCAGUGGGGUUGAUGAUAUGAGACUGCAGUUUGUACAUCUUGAGGAGAACCACCUCAGAGGAGAAAGAGGUACUCCACUGCGGAGGCGACAUGCAUCUUUACCAAGGUACAUGAGUCAUUAUAUUUUUUUUUGAAAACUGGUACAUGAGUCAUUAUUAACUUUCAGCAGUUUCAACUUAUUGUAACUGCACAAAUUCUUGUAUGGUUCUGAUUCCGCUUGCUUCUGCACUCUUCUUCAUGUGACAGGGAAAGAGUCUGUGCACCAAAGGGCAGUGAUAAUCAAGACUGUAACAAUGAGAGGAGGAGGACAGCAUCUUCUGCUGCCCAAACUACCAUAAGAUCACAACAAGAGGGGCUGACACAUGCAUAUGUUUAUCAAAAUGGCACAAGCAUUCCGAACUUCUGCUCAGGGUAUUACUUGCAGAAUGGUAGUACCAGUGCUUCCAGUUGUGUCAUCGAUGACCAUGAAGGCCUGAAGGUACUCCCUGUACCAAUUACAAUGACACUGCCUAAAUUCCUCCCAGGAUCUUAUAAUUAUCAGUGCACAAUCACUCUUCUCGUGACGACCCGUGUUUAUGCGAGAGACUGACCAAUAGCCAAUCUGUUUUCUGUUGUUUUCCACUCUUCAGGAGAACGGCGUCUCUGAGGAGGAGAAGGUGGCCUAUGAACUGUCACAAUGUUUUGCCAGGAUUUAGCCAAGAUGCACUCCUAAGCAACCAUGAUCCCGACGCAGCUCCAAAUUUCAGCAGUGGUUCCACCAUGUAGUCUUAUGGGUGGAGGUGCUGCGAAUUUCACAGCAACCAUUUACAUUAUCUGAAAACAUGUAAUAAAUCUGAGUUGAAAAAUGUUGUGUUGAUCUGCAUCGGUAUACAUCCAGUGUAAAUUGUGUGGGCACCGUACUGUAAGAGUCUAGAAUCGAAGAACAUCGUGUGUGUGUGUGUGUGUGUGUGUGUGUGUGUGUGUGUGUGCGUGACAGAAAUAGCAGACAUUCAGUUUGUGAAUUGGUCAACUGCUGGUGGGUUCAGUGGGAGCAGGUGAAUGAAUCUGUUGCACGCAGGGCAAGCUCCCUGGCAGUGACGGACCAACAAGGGGCCCAUGCUGAAUCCAGUUAAUCCACAGCAUUUCUGCAUGUGUAGCUCUAUCAAGUGUAGGAUAUGUAGAAUCAUCAGCACAGCGUGACUGCAAGGGAGGGAGAGACCCAGUCAGUCAAGCCGCAGCUUCCUAACUGAACAACCACUCCAUCAAAUAUACUACUCCCUCCGUUCAUAAAUACAAGUCUUUUUUAGAGAUUACAAUAUCAACUACAUACGGAGCAAAACGAGUCAACUUACACUCUAAAAUAUGUCUAUACAUUCAUAUGUAGUUCAUAUAGAAAUCUCUAAAAAGACUUGUAUUUAGAACCGAAGGGAGUACAUGACAGAAACAUGCAAACAAUGCAUUUUGUUUCAGAUAUGAGCAACUGUUAUUUGUAAGUUGCCUGAAAUCGAAUGACCUGGNNNNNNNNNNNNNNNNNNNNNNNNNNNNNNNNNNNNNNNNNNNNNNNNNNNNNNNNNNNNNNNNNNNNNNNNNNNNNNNNNNNNNNNNNNNNNNNNNNNNNNNNNNNNNNNNNNNNNNNNNNNNNNNNNNNNNNNNNNNNNNNNNNNNNNNNNNNNNNNNNNNNNNNNNNNNNNNNNNNNNNNNNNNNNNNNNNNNNNNNNNNNNNNNNNNNNNNNNNNNNNNNNNNNNNNNNNNNNNNNNNNNNNNNNNNNNNNNNNNNNNNNNNNNNNNNNNNNNNNNNNNNNNNNNNNNNNNNNNNNNNNNNNNNNNNNNNNNNNNNNNNNNNNNNNNNNNNNNNNNNNNNNNNNNNNNNNNNNNNNNNNNNNNNNNNNNNNNNNNNNNNNNNNNNNNNNNNNNNNNNNNNNNNNNNNNNNNNNNNNNNNNNNNNNNNNNNNNNNNNNNNNNNNNNNNNNNNNNNNNNNNNNNNNNNNNNNNNNNNNNNNNNNNNNNNNNNNNNNNNNNNNNNNNNNNNNNNNNNNNNNNNNNNNNNNNNNNNNNNNNNNNNNNNNNNNNNNNNNNNNNNNNNNNNNNNNNNNNNNNNNNNNNNNNNNNNAAACCGAGCUACUAGCUCCUGGCCACUGAAAGGAAAAGUCAAUCCCACCGGUUACAUCUUAUAUAGUUAUAUGCAUGCUCCACGCCGGCCGUCGUCGGCGGUCAGGGUGACGCCCGCGCCUCCAGACUCUGGCUGCGCCCGUCGGGGUCGCUAGCAUCGGUCCACGCGUUGUGGCGCUCUGACGGGCCGGACGGCGUGACACGAGUGCCGCGCAGCGAGAAGCCCGGCGUCCUCCGGACGCCGGCGCCCGUCGGCACUGUGCUCCCCCGGCGGUGACCACGCCGAGCUCGCCCGCUCCUGUCCGCGCGCACUGGCACGGGCAUGGCACCGAUGCCGCCGCAUGGUCGCCGUCCGCAGAUCAGCACGAGUAGGAGGAGAACGGCGACGGCGAGCCGCAGCGGUGAGACGUGUGGAGACAUGGCGAUCGAGCGAGGCAGAUGCCCGGAUGGAGGAGGAAGAAGUAGCUUUGCGGUUUGUUUGUUUGCUCUCUCUCUCUCUCUCUCUCUCUCUCUGCCUGACUGUGAUAAGCAUUGCAAGAAGCAUAUGAGGCUGUGUUUAUAUAGCACACCAGUAGACCGAGUAAGCCUGAGAGCCUGGACGUCCGUCGUAUGCCUGCAGCUCAGCUGGUUGGCCAAUCGUACCGUACGUACGCGUUGCACUUGCACGUGAAGGUGCGAAAAGAUAAGGCCUCUCAUUCGCUGCAUUGGGAUUUUUUUUCUCUCCUAUGCAUGUCAUUCGUUGGAACAAAGAUACAUUACUAUUGGUUUGGAAAGCCCCAAAAGAGUAAAAGUGGUUGAAAACAACCCUGUGUCCGAAAACUGGUUGUAUAAGCUACCUCUCCGUCCGAAAAUACUUGUCAUCAAAAUGGAUAAAAGGUGAUGUAUCUAGAACUAACAUACAUCUGGAUACAUCCCCUUUUAUUUAUUUUGGUGACAAGUAUUUCCGGACGGAGGGAGUACCUUUAAUGGAUGACACCAUCCGCGUAAGGAGCUCGUAAUGUUUGUACUUUUAACAUAAAGUUUCAAAUUUCUGCGAGGUCCAUGGUCUUUGGGUGCAACCAAUGGAAGAUAGUCGCUCGGGAUUUUAUCCAACUGAUGGGUUCGGCAUCAAGCAAUAAUUUAUCACGCAAACAUGUUUUCUGUUUAUGAACAAUGGCAUCAUAGAGAUUCAGCACACACAGAGUUGAUUAGAAAUCUGUUAAAUCUCAACCGAUGGCUAGCCGGAUCCAUCGAAGAUGGCGAAUUCUCCAUUCAACUUCGUAAGUAAUAAAAUGGCCAUUCGGAUGUGCCCAAAUUAAAACCUUCCAAUAAUCUCCAGUACCUCAUAUGAGUAAUUUUUGCAUAAAUCUUUGAGAAAUACUUUCGUAAUGGGUUUGGCUAGCUGUCAUCUAACUCCUAUACCAUUUUAUUUUACGUGAAGAUUUGUGCGGGCUUUUUUUCCUUUUCUUUUUUACAUAAAUAUUCAAAGAUAUAGGAGUUAGAUGUGACUUUGUUAAUUUCUUUUUUUAGAGUAAACUUUAAUUUCUCAUCUAGAUGGGAAUUAGCAAAUCCAUUUCGUAAUACAUAUAUGGUUUUAAUGGUUUGAUAAACAUAAUGAUAUAUAAAUUGCUGGUCAAAAUUGUGUUUCAUAUAUAUCGAUCGUGUCUAUGCUCAAAAUAACCACCUUUGUGAAACUGGAGAUUUGUUCCAAUAAAAAAGUGCAAGAUGCAAUAAUCAAAACACCACUAUAUUGCAUGCUGAUGCCGGCACAAGAACUAAUAUAUAUAUAUAUUCUUAAACAGUUUUGCUAAAGCACAUCUAGAUAUGCCCUAAGUAUUGCACAUCUAAGGUCGAGGUGGAUUUUUCCCAGAGAUUCAUGCAGGUAUUUUCUUUCUUUUUUCUUUUUCCCUUUUUAUACUUGAUUGAGUCACUUAAAUAUGCAAUAAAUAGGGCACAUUUAGAUGUGCCCUAGACAAACCCAUUCUUAAAAUAAACGAAACACAACUAGUGCAUGAUGGAUGCACACGGAACACUACGAAAGGACCAAAAUAAGCUAGCAACGGAAAUUCGACGGAGAUGAUUCUUCGAGCUCAGAGAGUGAGCCCUCGGCCGGCUUCUUCAAAUUGCGACGGCGUCCUCGACGGGCUAUGGCCGGCUACGAAGACGGCCACCAAUAAUGGUUGAUCAGUGGCACCCACAGUGGCACUGGUGGUCGGGCAGAUGGGGCGGAAGAGGCUUGGGGUGCAUGAGCGCCGUGCGGCCAUCUGGCGGGGGAGGGGCGCUGCUAAUGAGCGAUGUGCGGUGGCGGCCGUGUCCGCCGCCAGCAUAGUUCGCGCCCGUUGUGCCAACCGGAGCCAGGUGGGCCCGCGACGCUCUUACAAGAUCGGUAUAUUCGGGCGGGCCGGUGGGCGGAUGAGGGGCGCUGCGCGUGAACACCUCGCGUCCGGAGGGCGGAGGAGGGGCGGCGCUGAAGACCGCCGUGCGGCGGCGGUCGUGUUGCACGGCGUCGGCUUGGUUUGCCCCGUUGUGCCAGCUGGAGCCACACCGGCCUGCGGCUGUCAGCGGCCCACUGUCACCCUCGACUGCGCCUGAAGAAGAAGAAGCAACAUCAGCUGAAGCUGGUGUCGACAACAACAAGACUGCUACAGGACAAGAUCUGAGGCCCAAGUCAACCAGGCCCAAGAAGUUACCCCAGUGGCUUGCUAGCCCAAAUUGGGACCGUUAGCUCGGGUGUAACGCUACUUAUAGCCAUUGGCUACUUUCUCCUUUCUCUUGGCGAUGGACUAGGACGCUUCGGCCGAGACUGUACUGCUACAGACGUGUGGGUGGUUGGAUGGAAUACGUGUGUGAUACAAAUCCCUAGUUCGAAUUCCCCAUUUUCGACAUGGAUAUGUGAGCUAGAUCCGAGAUCCUCACAGUUGGUAAUCGGAGCCUCUCGUCCUGGAUCUUCCGCCGCAUAGCCACUACACCAGAUUCAGCGACCGUCGACGGCGACAGGCCAUGGAGGACCUCAGUGAAGAGAGCUGAGCGGUGUCCGAUCUGCUUCGUCACGAGAUCUCCAUCGAUCUGGACAAGAAGUUCAAGGCGCAAGGUGAAUCUCUCCUCAAGUCCAUGAACAAGAUGCUAGAAGCCAACAAUUCGACGCUCGACAACCUCAUGUCCAUCCGUGAUGAGAUCGCGCUUGACCUCGAGCAAGUUAGAGCGGACGUCAACAAGCUCGAGUCCACGGAUCCGGGGCUCAAGCUGGACGGGAGUUCGAUGUCGCACAACGACGACCAAGCUCGUGGAAGCGCUGCCGGCGACGGCCUGGGCUUCGAGGGUGACCACCGCGGGAAGGUGCAUAACAUCUAUGUGCCUCCUUCGGCAAGAGGUGCGCGAGAUCCAAAUCCUUCGCCCAAAUUUUUUUUGCCUCGUGAAUUCUCUGUUUCGGAUGCUGCUGAGUCAUCCCCAUUUUCUAUGCAUAUGGAAAUGCCUCGAUUCGAUGGCACCAAUCCACGGAUGUGGCAAAACCGUUGUGAAGAUCAGUUCAGAUUAUGUAGCGUCCCAGCCCAUAGAUGGAUUUCCUUGGCCACAACUCAAUUUGAAGGAGUUGCGCCGCGUUGGCUGGAAUCUGUUCAACGUCGUAUGCCUAACUCCAAUUGGAAUGAAUUUUGUAAUGCAGUUCAAAGCAGGUUUGACCGUAACCAGCACCAAACUCUCCUGCACAAGUUAUUUUGUAUUGCCCAAACUAGCACAAUGGAGGAUUAUGUGGAUCGCUUCGCGGAGUUGUAUGAUCAGUUAACAGCCUAUGAGGAUUCGCCAAAUGCCCUGCAUUACACCACAAGAUUCCUGGAUGCUCUGAAACCUGGAGUUAGGAUUGCUGUUGCACUGCAGAAAUCCAAGGACUUAGAUGUGGCUUAUGAACUUGCUCUGUUGCAUGAAGAAUUAGGAGAAGGGAUUACACCCAUCAAUAAUUUUCCAGCCAGGCGGAUGUCGUUAGUCUCUUCUGCUGUAACAUCCCCUAAAGUCAGAACUGUAGAUGAUCGGAAGGGGUCUGAAACUGUUAAACCCACCAUAAUGAGGAUAAGUGGUUUACAUUGCAUGAGUAUAUAUAGGAGAUCCAAGUGCCUCUGUUUUGUUUGUGGUGAAAGGUGGUCCAAGGAUGAUGUGUGCAAGUCCAUUGUUCAGCUGCAUUUUGUUUAGGAGACGAUUGAGCAACUGCAGGCUAGUACACCUGAGGAUUCUGAAACUUCUGACAGUGAGCAUCCCUCAUCCACUACCUCUUCAGUGCAUUCCAUCAGGCUCUCUGCUGCUGCUAUGGGAAAGGAACCUGAGGCCCUUGUUAUGAAGUUGACAGUCUUCAUCCAAGGGCAUUCCUUGCAAUUUCUUGUGGAUUCUGGCAGUACACAUUCUUUCCUUGAUAGCAAGUAUGUGAUAUUGUCAGGUGUUUCUUCCAUUACUCCAGUCAAUGUUACAUAUGCAGGUGGAACUGUUAGUUCUUGUCAGCAUAGUAUUAAUGCUUGCAGUUGGGCCAGUAAUGGGGUGCAGUUUACAUCAGAUUUCAAGCUGCUGUCUCUCAACACUUAUGAUGGUAUACUCAGAUUAGACUGGUUGGCCCAACAUAGUCCCAUGAAAAUCGACUGGGUUGAGCAGUGGAUGUCUUUCAAUCAUGCAGGAAAAUGGUUACCUUGCAAGGGAUCAAUUCAACUGAGUGUGCUUAUACAUGUGUAUCCAUCUCAACUAUUCAGGUUUCAGAUCCUUCUCCAAUUCCUAUAGGAAUGCAAUAGCUCAUUGACGAAUUUGCAGAUGUGUUUGCAACUCCCACAGAAUUACCUCCCAGGAGGUAUUGUGACCGCCACAUUCCCCUGAUUCCAGGGGAAGACCUGUUUCUGCGAGACCAUACAAAAUUGUUCCUCAGUUGAAGGAUGAACUUGAAAGGCAGAUCAAUGAACUGCUUAAAUCUGGUAUGAUCAGGGUCGGCAAAAGCCCAUUUUCUUCACCUAUGUUGCUUGUUAAGAAGAAGGGUGGAGAGUGGAGAAUGGUGGUUGAUUACAGGAUGUUAAAUGCAAUCACUAUUACGGGGAAGUUCCCAGUCCCUGUGAUAGAUGUGCUAUUGGAUGAGUUGUCUGGGGCUGCUUGGUUCACAAAAUUGGAUUUGAGAGCUGGCUACCACCAAAUUAGACUGGCCCCAGGAGAAGAAUAUAAGACUGCCUUUUCCACUCACAUUGGUCACUAUGAGUUCAAUGUGUUGGCCUUUCGGCUUAGUGGAGCUUCUGGCACUUUCCAGGGUUCACUGAACACUACCUUGAAGCCUGUAAACAGAAAGAAUACAUUGUGUUUCUUCGAUGACAUCUUGGUUUUCAGCAAAACUUACCAAGAGCACCUAUCACAUGUUAGAAAAGUGCUAGAGCCGCUCAGAGCUGACCAGUGGAAGGUUAAAAUGUCCAAAAUGUGCCUUUGCUCAGCAACAAAUCGACUACUUGGGACAUACCAUUAGUGCUGCAGGUGUGGCAACUGAUUCUACCAAAAUUACUGUUGUCCAAAAUUGUCCUACCCCUACCAAUGUUAAAGAAGUGAGAUAACUUCUUGGUCUAAGUGGCUAUUACAGGAAAUGUAUUCAACAUUAUGGCAUAAUCAGCAAACCAUUGACCAAGCUUCUUGAGAAGGGAGUGCCAUUUUUAUGGAUUCCAAUUACUGAAGAAGCCUUUUUCACUCUCAAGAAAGCAUUGGUUGAGGCUCCUGUACUAGCUCUUCCUCAGUUUGAUAAGUCGUUUGUUAUUGAAACAGAUGCUUGUGAUAAGGGAAUUGGAGAAGUUUUGAUGCAGGAAGGCACCCUUUGGCAUAUGUUAAUAAGGCUCUUGGCCCCAAGAACAGAGGUAUGUUAGUCUAUGAGAAAGAAUAUAUGGCUAUCUUGUUAGCAGUGGAGCAGUGGAGACCUUAUUUGCAGAUGCAACAUUUUGCUAUCAAAACUGACCAGAAGAGUUUAGUCCAUUUGCAGAGUCAAAAGUUUAUCACUGCUUGGCAGCAGAAAGCACUUACCAAGUUGAUGGGGUUGGAUUAUCAAAUUGCUUAUAAGAAGGGGACUGAGAAUUCGGCAGCAGAUGCUCUGUCCAGAAGACCACCAGAGAAGCAAUUGUUCUCUGUUUCCAAGGUACAGCCUGUGUGGAUGGCAGAAAUUAGUGACAGUUACAAUGGUGAUAAGACAGCUACUGAACUUUUUCAACAGUUAGCUCUUGAUCCUACUUCCAAACCUAAUCACCAGCUACUCCAAGGGAUAAUUAGAUACAAAGGAGCUAUCUGGAUUGGUAAUAAGCUGGACCUUCAUAACAAGAUCUUUGCUGCUUUCCAUGACAGUCCAGUUGGUGGUCAUUCAGGAUUCCCUGUCACCUAUCGCAGAAUUCACUCCCUCUUUAGGUCGUCGGGAAUGAAGAAAUUUAUUAGAGAAAAGUCCAAUCAUGUCUCACUUGCCAGCAAGCUAAGCCAGAAAGGGUUAAUUACCCCGGGUUGCUGUCCCCACUGCUAGUUCGUAAGAAAGCCUGGGAAUAUGUUACUAUGGAUUUCUUUUCUGGUCUUCCUAUCUCAGGUUAUUUUGACUGUAUAUUCCUGGUGAUUGAUAAAUUUACUAAAUAUGGUCAUUUCAUGCCAUUAAAACAUACUUUCACUACUGCUAAGGUGGCUGAAGUGUUCUUGGAUAAUGUGUACAAGCUACAUCGUAUGCCCGAGCAUAUAGUGUCUGACAGAGAUCCUAUCUUCACUAGCACAUUUUGGCAGACUCUGAUCAAGAGAACUGGUACACACCUCAAUAUGAGUACUGCCUAUCAUCCAGCUACUGAUGGGCAAACGGAAAGAGUAAAUCAGCAAGUUGAAUGUUAUCUCAGAAGUUUUAUCAGUGCACAUCCGCAUCAGUGGAGCAAGUGGCUUUCAAUGUGUGAAUUUUGGUACAAUACUAAUUGGCACUCUGCAGUGGGCAAGACUCCCGUUGAGAUUUUGUAUGGGCACUCUCCCAGGUACUUUGUCAUCUCAGCCAGUGACACUGUAGCUGCUCCUGAUAUCCAACAUUGGCUUCAAGAGAGACAAACAGUUUUGGAUUCUGUCACUCAGCACUUGCAUAGAGCUCCGCAGAGGAUGAAGGUCCAAGCCGAUAAGCACAGAGCUGAAAGUUGUUUUGAUAUUGGGGACAUGGUUUUUCUUAAGAUUCAACCCUAUGUCCAAUCUUCAGUGGCUCACCGGGCGAAUCAUAAGCUUUCUUUCAAGUUUUUUGGGCCGUUCAAGAUAAUUGGCAAGAUUGGUGAAGUUGCUUACAAACUGGAAUUACCUGCCACCAGCAAGAUUCAUCCGGCCUUCCAUGUUUCACAGCUUAAGAAGGUUAUCCCUCCUACUUCCACGGUACUUUCCAAGCUGCCUCCCCGGUUUUCUCGACUACAAGUGCUAGUGCAAGUUCUUUAGUCUCGAGUCCGUCAGGUGGGACAGAAGACAGUGGCGCAGGGUUUGAUAUUGUGGAGUGGUUCCUCUCCGGCUGAACCUACAUGGGAGGACCUGGAGUCUUUGCGCCAACAGUUCCCUCGGGCUGCGGCUUGGGGUCAAGCCGCUACUAAACAAGGAGGGAUGUUAGUGACCCACUGUCAACCUCAACUGCGCCUGAAGAAGAAGAAGCAACACCAGCUGAAGCUGGUGUCGACAAUAGGAAGAUUGCUACAGGACCAGAUCUGAGGUCCAAGUCGACCAGGCCCAAGAAGUUACCCCAGCGACUUGCUAGCCCAAACUGGGUCUGUUAGCUCGGGUGUAAUGCCACUUAUAGCCGUUGGCUACUUUCUCCUUUCUUUUGGCGAUGGACUAGGCGGACUGCUACAGAUGUGUGGGUGGUUGGGUGGAAUACGUCUGUAAUACAAAUCCCUAUUUUGAAUUACCCAUUUUCGCCAUGGCUAUGUGAGCUAGAACCGAGAUCCUCACAACGCGCUCCCCGCAAGGCCACGGCCUCGCGCAUGAGCCUCGCGCCGUCGACACGGUGCGGCGUGCCGCCACAGAGCAGCACGAGGAGGAAACCCACGAGGGCGAGCCAUGGUACAGACGACGACGCGGCCACGGCAAUCGACAUGGACAAUGUAAGAGGCUACCUUGCUAGCUAAGAUGAGAGAUCAAGCGAGGGGCAGUGAGGGAGCAAGAAUGAAGAAAGAGUGGAGAUGAAGGCGAGUAUAUAUAGAGCAGCACGUAGCGGCUCGAGUGGUGGGUGCAACUGCAUGCACGCAUGGGAAGGCGGGACAGACGGAAGGAGGAGCGGAUAAGGACUCGGAUUGACUGGUCGAGCAGAGAGAAGACUCCGGCCCUAACAUAUUCAAUGAAAUAGCGGCGCUAUGCAUGCAUGCACACACAGAAUGAGAUGGUAUGCACUCCCUCCAUUUUGGUACCUUGCUUCCUACUCCCUCUGUUCCCCCAGCUACAAGUAUUUCAGUACAUAGGUACUUCCUCCGUAUAGGUGUGUAAGUCAUCUUAUACGAAAAUCAGGUAUUCUCAAAAAUCUUAGAUUACCUAUAGUGGGAGUAACACAGGUAGUAACAUCACACAUAUCUAGAUAAAAUAGAAGAUGUGGCAAGCAAUAAAUGAAGAAAGAGAGGCAUGCGGUAACAUAUCUACUCCCUCCGUCCGGGUUUAUUAGGCCUCUUAGCAUCACAAGCAUGUCCCUUUUUAUAAGGCUUCGCUUUGGAAAGGUGCAUGCAUACAACCAUUUCAUUAGUUGCAUUGAAAGUCAUUGUUGUUGGUGUCAUGACUGAGAAAUUAAUACACUUCAUGCGUGCUUUUCUAUUGGCUGCAUGCAUGUGAGAGAGUGCAUUUGGAGUGGAAUGAAAGAAUUAAUGUGAGCAAAUUACUAUGUGUCUUGGUCUAAGAGAAAUUGUCUUUAGGCCUAAUAAACCCAGACGGAGGGAGUAGUUACUAGCACUGGUGCGCGUCGGUCCUAAACAAACAGUUUUUUACCCCUUUUCGCGACGGCAUUUGGAACCGUCGCCAAGUGAGUGUGGGCGAUAGGGGUGUCCUUCCCACACGACCCAGAAACCGUCGGGGAUAUGCCCUCCUGGCACACACGUUCAGCAAAAUGAGGUCGUGUGCGACCGGCGAGCACUCAAAUACGGAAAUGCGUACAGUAGAGCUAAAAAAAAUACAAUUAUACGGCGAAAUUGUUUCCGGUCGCAAGUACAUCCCACACAGUCAGUCUCCGCUAAACGUUUCCGUUCGUAUGCACAUCCCACACAGUCGCUCCAAGGAAAACUUUUCCGUUCACAUGUACAUCACACACAAUUUUUCCCGUUAAAUCGUUUGCGUUAUUGAAUGUAGCACACACGGUCCGUAGAAGAAACUGUGUGGCAAAGGCUGUCCAUGACACACAGUUUUUACGUGGUAAACGUUUGUGCAAGGUGGCCUAAUGCAAACAGUUUUCAAGAGAAAGUCGUGUGUGAUUGUUCAUUGAUCCAACACAGUUUAUUCCUAGAAACUGUGUGCGUUGCCUGAGGUCAUCGCCCACGGUAUUUUUUCAACAACCGUUUGCAAUAUCAAAACCCAAUUAGCAGGCUAAUUGCCCUAUUAUUAAUAAUCUAUUUAUUAAUCUAAUUGACAUUCAUAUUAAGCACACAAUAUAUUUCAUUUCCAUAUUAAGGAAGCAGAAUUUCAUAAUUGAAAUACAUCAGAGUACAACAUGAUAUAGCUUCAGCACUCAGCUACCCCAUUACAGAAUUGCACUAGCAGCAAGUUCCACAUGCAAAAUGUAGAACCUUUCGAAAUUAGCAUCAUAGACGGUAUAUAAACAGAUGCAUCUCAUCUGGAAAACUACUGAAGCAGAAGACGAAUAUUGAGCCUUCAUUCAUGUUGAAGGUCUUUGCAACUUUAGGCCAGUGUCUGUGGAUGAUUGACCGUCCGUCCUUCGACCUCUUCAGGAACACUUUAAUAUUGAACCGUGGGUGUUGUAUGAAAACCUUCCUCGCCUUUUGACCAUAGAGGUGGUUUAAGAGGUAAUCAUCAGUGAACUGCUUUGGAAAGGCCUGAAAACAAGGAUGUGCAUAAAUAUCUUCUCUAUAUUGGAAAUGGGGCAAAGGAAUAAAAAAGUCAAGGUAUAAUAGUUAUUACCAUCUUGUAGUGAACUGAUGUCUUCUUCAUUGUGCAGACAAAGAUCUUGUUGUUUUUGUCGCUAAUUUCUUUAUCAACAAUCUUUCUGAGUUUCUUGAUUUGAUUGAUAUUCAUGGACAACUCAUUUCCCCAUAUGCAAAAAGGGUCGAACAGUGGGUCAAAACCUCUGGCAGCAGGACCUACAUGCGCAAGACCAAAUUGUUAAAAACCAAAAUAUUAGAAUGGUUCCUGCAAUUGCACAAUAAUGUGCUAUUAGAAAACGGACCAUGCACGUGCUAACCUCGAUUGUAAACUUCAGUGCUUCCCAUUGUUUUCCUGCAACACAUAUAAGGUAGUUAGUCAUCAGGUUAAGUAAGGGUUCACAUGCUAUCAGUAAAAUAUGUUGAUGAAAAAUAAGCACAUUGCAGAUUCAUCAGAUUAAUUGAAGCCACAUGGAAAACCCAUUUACCCAAACCAAGCAUGAUUAAGAACUAGGAAAUAUAGCACUUGUAUAUAUUUCUCAUGUAUUAAGUGCAGCCAAAUUCGAUUUAUUCCUCACAUGCACAACAAUACAAAAUUCUACCCACGACAAUUGGACAUCGCAUUGCAGAAUUGAACCAAGCAGUUAACUAAACACCACAACAAAUGAACCAAACAUUAACUGAGCACCACAUUGCACAAUAUAACAUUGAACCAAGCAGUUAACUAAACACCACAACAAAUGAACCAAACAUUAACUGAGCACCACAUUGCACAAUAUAACAUACUCAUAAUAGAAGAUCAGAGAGUUAACCAAACAGUUAACUACAGCCAAUUGUAGCAAUUGUAUUUGUUUCUCAUGUAUUUACUACAGCAAAAUUCAAUUUACUCCUCAUAUGGUAUACAAUAACAGAAUGUACCCACAAUUUUGUAAAGAUAAAUUCGAUUUAUUUCUCACAUGAAAGACAAUACAAAAUUGCAGCCUGAAGAAUUGAACAUCACAUUUGCAGAAUUGAACCAAACAGUUAACUCAAGACGACAACUAAUUAACAAAACAGUUAAUAAGUGAGCACCACACUGCACGACAUAGAGAACAUAUACACUAGAGCACAGAUUGCAUGGUGAAAUUAGAUAGCACAAUUCACUAGAUUUUGUGAAGGAGGGCCGCCGGCGAGGAGGCGGCAGCGCUGCAAGCAAGGAGUGAAGGUUUCAACUUGGAAAGAAAGGCGGAAAGAGGGGAAAUGUGGCUUUUGGUAAGGGGGAGGGGGCGGGGAGGUAGAUAUUUCCGCGGAAGCCAAAAAUUUGGAAUUGCUUCAGCCAAAAAACUAGCGCGCAAAGUGUCAUCAGACACGGUCCCUUAUUCAGAACUUUGUAUGAUAUAUGGACAUCACAAACGAUUCAGAUAGCUUAACCCGUGUGUGAUGAGUUUGAACGUCAAAAGUUUUGGUUCGAAUUUCCAUGGUUACAGUGGUCAUCCACGUCAUUGCAUAAUUUGGGUACACAAAGGAGACUACAGCACACCCACACUUCUUAAUCAAGCAAGUUCAGCAAUUAAACAUAGGUAGCUGACCUAAACAUUACUCUAACAAAUUAAAGACUGGCGCUCUUAAUUAAACAAAACAUAGAGUACUACUACGGCUGGUGCUCGUCGAUCUCCGUCGCUGCCUCCAUGUCCAGCUCGCGCCCGAUGGUCUCCUGGGGAAGGGGCUCCAUGGCAUCCAUCGCACCAUACUCGGCAAGCAUCUCGCCAUCCGCGUCCGCCAUCUCUUUGGAAAAGGCCGCCACGAGCUGGGCAUGGGCGGACGGGAUCUGGGCUUGGACGGGCUCAGUCGUCGCAAGGUAUGCGGCGGAGGAACGGAUAGCUGCUCGAACGCUCUCGGCGAUUGCCAGCUCUUCGGCCGUGGGUUGCCGACCGUUGUCGGAGAAGCUUCGUUUGAUUUGUGCGGUGACCGCCAGGAGCUAGGCGUGGGCGGCCUCGACAUGGUCGUAGGCGGCCUCCAUCAGGGCUAAGGCCGCCGCUGCGAAACAGACAGCUGUUGUGCCGCUCUCGCCAGUUGCUAUCCCCGAGGCAGAUGUUGCUGCCGCCACCUGAGAAGCAACAUCGGCCAUUUGGGCUGCCUUUGCCGCCCGGUCGCAAAUUGCGGCCGCGCUCAUGCACCUUGUUAGCAUGCGCAUGGCGGCUGCGGCCACGCUCUCGCCGGAGUGGGCCACCGAUGUUGCCCUCACGACGCGGGUCAACGUGCCUAUCUUUCACCGGCGACGAUUGAACAGUGAAAUGAUAUUUGGGGAGCGAGCUAGUGUGCUUGACACGCCGGCUGUGGACUGUAGCCGACGCACCUUCUCGCGUAAGCCAUAGGCGUACUAUACACCGACGGUGCUUCAAGAUGUUUUGUACUACAUCUCACACGGUUGCUGAUAAUAAACUGUGUGCGAUCUACUUGAUUUUUCAUCUUGAUUUGAAUUACAUAAUGGGGUCACGGCGGCAAUGGACGGUGUUUGAAUUGCUAGACCUUUUAUCUGGAGUGAACAUGCAACUAUAUGUGUGUCAUAAAAGAAUUGGAAUUAUUCAGGGUUCGUUUGAACAUUUUAUACAUUAAAUUGGUUUUCUAGCCAUUUCAGGUGAACAAUUCAAAUUUGAACUACACGCACAUGCUCUAGUGCAUAUAAAUUGGUUAAAAAAUCAAAUAUGUGUCCUUGGGUGCAUGCUUAGGUCCCAUGCAAGAAAUGGGAAUGAAUUUCAAACACCAGGGCACCGUUGAUUGCCGGCAAAACAUUGAGAUUCCUGGUUUUAAAUUCUAGUAAAUCCAAAACUCGACUGAAAUUCAUGAAACUUGGCAUGCUAUCAUGGAGCGGCAUCAACAUGCCGUGAUACAAAUUUUGUCCCAUUUGGGACAGGUUUGGGUAUAUGCUUCUCAUAAACCGGAGCUUCUCACAACAAGCAUGAUGGUUUUCGGUAGGGAACGUCCCACCUUUGUGGACGAAAUGAUAUCCAUUGCCUGUUGGAAAUAUGCCCUAGAGGCAAUAAUAAAUUGGUUAUUAUUAUAUUUCCUUGUUCAUGAUAAUCGUUUAUUAUCCAUGCUAGAAUUGUAUUGAUAGGAAACUCAGAUACAUGUGUGGAUACAUAGACAACACCAUGUCCCUAGUAAGCCUCUAGUUGACUAACUCGUUGAUCAAUAGAUGGUUACGGUUUCCUGACCAUGGACAUUGGAUGUCGUUGAUAACGGGAUCACAUCAUUAGGAGAAUGAUGUGAUGGACAAGACCCAAUCCUAAGCCUAGCACAAGAUCGUGUAGUUCGUUUGCUAAGAGCUUUUCUAAUGUCAAGUAUCAUUUCCUUAGACCAUGAGAUUGUGCAACUCCCGGAUACUGUAGGUAUGCUUUGGGUGUACCAAACGUCACAACGUAACUGGGUGGCUAUAAAGGUGCACUACAGGUAUCUCCGAAAGUGUCUGUUGGGUUGGCACGAAUCGAGACUGGGAUUUGUCACUCCGUGUAAACGGAGAGGUAUCUCUGGGCCCACUCGGUAGGACAUCAUCAUAAUGUGUACAAUGUGACCAAGGAGUUGAUCACGGGAUGAUGUGUUACGGAACGAGUAAAGAGACUUGCCGGUAACGAGAUUGAACAAGGUAUCGGGAUACCGACGAUCGAAUCUCGGGCAAGUAACAUACCGAUAGACAAAGGGAAUUGUAUACGGGAUUGAUUGAAUCCCCGACAUCGUGGUUCAUCCGAUGAGAUCAUCGUGGAACAUGUGGGAGCCAACAUGGGUAUCCAGAUCCCGCUGUUGGUUAUUGGCCGGAGAACGUCUCGGUCAUGUCUGCAUGGUUCCCGAACCCGUAGGGUCUACACACUUAAGAUUCGAUGACGCUAGGGUUAUAGGGAAUAGAUAUACGUGGUUACCGAAUGUUGUUCAGAGUCCCGGAUGAGAUCCCGGACGUCACGAGGAGUUCCGGAAUGGUCCGGAGGUAAAGAUUUAUAUAUGGGAAGUCCUGUUUUGGUCACCGGAAAAGUUUCGGGUGCUAUCGGUAACGUACCGGGACCACCGGGAGGGUCCCGGGGGUCCACCAGGUGGGGCCACUGGCCACAGAGGGCUGCGUGGGCCAAGUGUGGGAGGGGACCAGCCCCAGGUGGGCUGGUGCGCCCCCCCACAAGAGGCCCAGGGCGCAGGAAGGGGGGAAGGGGGAAACCCUAGGCUAAGAUGGGCCUAAGGCCCAUCUAGUGGGGCGCCCCCCUCUCUCCCCCCCUUGGCCGCCCCCAAGUCCCAUCUAGGGCUGGCCGCACCCCUUGGGGGGGGGAACCCUAGAUGGGGGCGCAGCCCCUCCCCUUCCCCUAUAUAUAGUGGGGGUUUGGGGCUGCCAGAGACAUGAGACUUCCUCUCUCUUAGCGCAGCCCUACCCCUCUCCCUCCUCCUCCUCUCCCGCGGUGCUUGGCGAAGCCCUGCAGGAUUGCCACGCUCCUCCAUCACCACUAUGCCGUUGUGCUGCUGCUGGACGGAGUCUUCCCCAACCUCUCCCUCUCUCCUUGCUGGAUCAAGGCGUGGGAGACGUCACCGGGCUGCACGUGUGUUGAACGCGGAGGCGCCGUGGUUCGGCACUUAGAUUGGAAUCAACUGCGAUCUGAAUCGCUACGAGUACGACUCCUUCAUCCGCGUUCUUGCAACGCUUCCGCAUCGCGAUCUACAAGGGUAUGUAGAUGCACUCCCCUUCCCCUCGUUGCUAGAUUACUCCAUAGAUUGAUCUUGGUGAUGCGUAGAAAAUUUUGAAUUUCUGCUACGUUCCCCAACAGUGGCAUCAUGAGCUAGGUCUAUGCGUAGUUUCUAUGCACGAGUAGAACACAAAGUAGUUGCGGGCAUCGAUGUUGUCAAUUUACUUGCCGUUACUAGUCUUAUCUUGAUUUGGCGGCAUCGUGGGAUGAAGCGGCUCGGACCGACCUUACACAUACUCUUACGUGAGACAGGUUCCACCGACUGACAUGCACUAGUUGCAUAAGGUGGCUAGCGGGUGUCUGUCUCUCCCACUUUAGUCGGAUCGGAUUCGAUGAAAAGGGUCCUUAUGAAGGGUAAAUAGAAAUUGGCAUAUCACGUUGUGGCUUUUGCGUAGGUAAGAAACGUUCUUGCUAGAAACCCAUAGCAGCCACGUAAAACAUGCAACAACAAUUAGAGGACGUCUAACUUGUUUUUGUAGGGCAUGCUAUGUGAUGUGAUAUGGCCAAAAGGAUGUGAUGAAUGAUAUAUGUGAUGUAUGAGAUUGAUCAUGUUCUUGUAAUAGGAAUCACGACUUGCAUGUCGAUGAGUAUGACAACCGGCAGGAGCCAUAGGAGUUGUCUUAAUUUAUUGUAUGACCUGCGUGUCAAUAAAAAUGCCAUGUAAUUACUUUACUUUAUUGCUAACCGUUAGCCAUAGUAGUAGAAGUAAUAGUUGGCGAGACAACUUCAUGAAGACACGAUGAUGGAGAUCAUGAUGAUGGAGAUCAUGGUGUCAUGCCGGUGACGAAGGUGAUCAUGCCGCGCCUCAAAGAUAGAGAUCAAAGGCGCAAGAUGAUAUUGGCCAUAUCACGUCACUUUAUGAUUUGCAUGUGAUGUUUGUCCCAUUUACAUCUUAUUUGCUUAGAAUGACGGUAGCAUAAAUAAGAUGAUCCCUCACUAAAAUUUCAAGAGACGUGUUCCCCCUAACUGUGCACCGUUGCGAAGGUUCGUUGUUUCGAAGCACCACGUGAUGAUCGGGUGUGAUAGAUUCUAACGUUCGAAUACAACGGGUGUUGACGAGCCUAGCAUGUACAGACAUGGCCUCGGAACACAUGCGAAACACUUAGGUUGACUUGACGAGCCUAGCAUGUACAGACAUGGCCUCGGAACACAAGAGACCGAAAGGUCGAACAUGAGUCGUAUAACAGAUAUGAUCAACAUGGAGAUGUUCACCGAUGAUGACUAGUCCGUCUCACGUGAUGAUCAGACACGGCCUAGUUUGACUCGGAUCAUGUAUCACUUAGAUGACUAGAGGGAUGUCUGUCUGAGUGGGAGUUCAUUAAAUAAUCAGAUGAACUUAAUUAUCAUGAACAUAGUCAAAAGGUCUUUGCAAAUUAUGUCAUAGCUUACGCUUUAGCUCUACUGUUUAAGAUAUGUUCCUAGAGAAAAUUUAGUUGAAAGUUGAUAGUAGCAAUUAUGCGGACUGGGUCCGUAAACUGAGGAUUGUCCUCACUGCUGCACAGAAGGCUUAUGUCCUUAAUGCACCGCUCGGUGUGCUGAACCUCGAGCGUCGUUUGUGGAUGUUGCGAACAUCUGACAUACACGUUUUGAUGACUACGUGAUAGUUCAGUGCGUAAUGUUGAACGGUUUAAAAUUGUGGCACCAAAGACGUUUUUGAAACGUCGCAGAACAUAUGAGAUGUUCCAAAGACUGAAAUUGGGAUUUCAGACUAGUGCCCACGUCAAGAGGUAUGAGACCUCUGACAAGUUUCUUAAGCCUGCAAAAAUAAAGGAGAAAAGCUCAAUCAUUGAGCAUGUGCUCAGAUCGUCUGAGUACCACAAUCACUUGAAUCGAGUGGGAGUUAAUCCUCCAGAUGAGAUAGUGAUGGUUCUCCAUAGUCACUGCCACCAAGCUUAUUAGAGCUUCGUGAUGAACUAUAACAUAUCAGGGAUAGACAUGAUGAUCCUUGAGCUAUUCGCGAUGUUUGACACCGCGAAAGUAGAAAUCAAGAAGGAGCAUCAAUUGUUGAUGGUUAGUAAAACCACUAGUUUCUAGAAGGGCAAGGGCAAAAAGGGAUACUUCAUGAAACAGCAAGUCAUUUGGUGCUCUAGUGAAGAAUCCUAAGGUUGAACCCAAACCCGAGACUAAGUGCUUCUGUAAUGAGGGGAACGGUCACUGAAGCAGUACUACCCUAGAUACUUGGUAGAUGAGAAGGCAGGCAAGGUCGACGGAAGUAUAUUGGAUAUACAUUAUAUGAAUGUGUACUUUAGUAGUACUCCUAGCAGCACCAGGGUAUUAGAUACCGGUUCGGUUGCUAAGUGUUAGUAACUCGAAAUAAAAGCUGCGGAAUAAAUGGAGACUAGCUAAAGGUGAGAUGACGAUGUGUGUUGGAAGUGUUUCCAAGGUUGAUGUGAUCAAGCAUCACAUGCUCCCUCUACCAUCGAGAUUGGUGUUUGCGUUGAGCAUAAACAUGAUUGGAUUAUGUUUAUCGCAAUACGGUUAUUCAUUUAAGGAGAAUAAUGGUUACUCUGUUUAUUUGAAUAAUACCUUUAAUGGUCUUGCACCUAAAAUGAAUCUCGAUCGCAGUGAUACACAUGUUCGUGCCAAAAGAUAUAAGAUAGUAAUGAUAGUACCACAUACUUGUGGCACUGCCAUUUGAGUCAUAUUGGUAUAGAACGCAUGAAGAAGCUCCAUGUAGAUGGAUCUUUGGACUCACUCGUUUUUGAAAAGAUUGAGACAUGCGAACCAUGUCUAUUGGUAUACAUCCAUGAAGAAACUCCAUGCAGAUGGAUCGUUUGGACUCACUUGAUUUUGAAUCACUUGAGACAUGCAAAUCAUACUACAUGGGCAAGGUGACUGAAAGGCCUCGUUUUCAGUAAGAUGGAACAAGAGAGCAACUUGUUGGAAGUAAUACAUUUGAUGUGUGCAGUCCAAUGAGUGCUGAGGCACGCAGUGGAUAUCAAUAUGUUCUUACUUCACAGAUGAUUUGAGUAGAUGCUGAGAAUAUUUACUUGAUGAAACACAAGUCUGAAUUAUUGAAAGGUUCAAGUAAUUUCAGAGUGAAGUUGAAGAUCGUCGUGACAAGAGGAUAAAAUGUCUAUGAUAUGAUCAUAGAGAUAUCUGAGUUACGAAUUUGGCACACAAUUAAGACAUUGUGGAAAGUGUUUCACAAUUAAUACCGCCUGGAACACCACAGUGUGAUGGUGUGUCCGAACAUCAUAACUGCACCCUGUUGGAUAUGGUGCAUACCAUGAUAUCUCUUUACCACUAUCGUUUAUGGGUUAGGCAUUAGAGACAACCGCAUUCACUUUAAAAGGGGCACCAUGCAAUUCCGUUGAGACGACACCGUUUAGAGAAACCUAAGUUGUCGUUUCUUAAAAGUUUGGGGCUGCGAUGCUUAUGUGAAAAAGUUUCAGGCUGAUAAGCUCGAACCCAAAGCAUAUAAAUGCAACUUCAUAGAAUACCCAAAACAGUUGGGUAUACCUCCUAUUUCAGAUCUGGAAGCAAAAAUUAUUGUUUCUAGAAACGAGUCCUUUCUCAAGGAAAAGUUUCUCUCGAAAGAAUUGAGUGGGAGGAUGGUGGAGACUUGAUGAGGUUAUUGAACCAUGACUUCAACUAGUGUGUAGCAGGGCACAGGAAGUUGUUCCUGUGGCACCUACACCAAUCGAAGUGGAAGCUUAUGAUAGUGAUCAUGAAACUUCGGAUCAAGUCACUACCAAACCUCGUAGGACGACGAGGAUGCGUGCUACUUCAGAGAAGUACGUGAUCCUGUCUUGGAAGUCAUGUUGCUAGACAACAAUGAACCUACGAGCUAUGGAGAAGCGAUGGUGGGCCCGGAUUCCGACGAAUGGCUCGAGGCCAUGAAAUCCGAGAGAGGAUCCAUGUAUAAAAGCAAAGUAUAGACUUUGGAAGAAAUACUUGAUGGUCGUAAGGCUGUUGGGUGAAGAUGGAUUUUAAGAAGAAGACAGACAUGGACGGUAAUGUUACCGUCUAUGAAGCUCGACUUGUGGCAAAGAGUAUUUUCACAAGUUCAAGGAGUUGACUACGAUGAGAUUUUCUCAUCCGUAGCGAUGCUUAAGUCCGUCGGAAUCAUGUUAGCAUUAGCUGCAUUUAUGAAAUCUGGCAGAUGGAUGUCAAAACAAGUUUCCUUACCAGUUUUCAUAAGGAAAGGUUGUAUGUGAUACAAUCAGAAAGGUUUUGUCGAUCCUAAGGAUGCUAAAAGGUAUGCUAGCUCCAGCGAUCCUUCCAUGGCCUAGAGCAAGCAUCUCGGAGUCAGAAUAUACGCUUUUGAUGGAGUGAUCAAAGUUUUUGGGUUUAUACAAAGUUUGUUAGAAACUUGUAUUUACAAUAAAGUGAGUGGGAGCGCUACAACAUUUCUGAUUAGUAUAUGUGAAUGACAUAUUGUUGAUCCGAAAUGAUGUAAAAUUUCUGGAAAGCAUAAAGGGUUGUUUGAAAGGAGUUUUUCAAAGGAAGACCUGGAUAAAGCUGCUUACAUAUUGGGCAUCAAGAUCUAUAGAGAUAGAUCAAGACGCCCGAUGAUACUUUCAAAGAACGCACACCUUGACAUGAUUUUGAAAGAGUUCAAAAUAGAUCAGCAAAGAAGGAGUUCUUGGCUGUGUUACAAGGUGUGAGUAUUGAGUAAGACUCAAGACCUGACCACAGCAGAAGAGAGAGAAAGGACGAAGGUCGUCCCCUAUGCUUUAGACGUAGGCUCUACAGUAUGCUAUGCUGUGUACCGCACAUGAAGUGUGCCUUGCCAUGAGUUGGUCAAGGGGUACAAUAGUGAUCUGGGAAUGGAUCACAUGACAGCGGUCGAACUUAUCCUUAGUAUCUAGUGGACUAAGGAUUUUCUCGAUUAUGGAGGUGAAAAGGGGUUCGUCGUAAAGGGUUACGUCGAUGCGAACUUUGACACUAAUCCGGAUGACUCUGAGUAGUAAACCGGAUUCGUAUAGUAGAGCAGUUAUUUGAAAUGGCUCCAAGUAGCGCGUGGUAGCAUCCACAAGAUGACAUAGAUAUUCGUAAAGCACACACGGAUCUGAAAGGUUCAGACCCGUUGACUAAUAACCUCUCUCACAAGCAUAACAUGAUCAAACCAGAACUCGUUGAGUGUUAAUCACAUAGUGAUGUGAACUAGAUUGUUGACUCUAGUAAACUCUUUGGAUGUUGGUCACAUGGUGAUGUGACCUGUGAGUGUUAAUCACAUGGUGAUGUGAACUAGAUUAUUGACUCUAGUGCAAGUGGGAGACUGUUGGAAAUAUGCCCUAGAGGCAAUAAUAAAUUGGUUAUUAUUAUAUUUCCUUGUUCAUGAUAAUCGUUUAUUAUCCAUGCUAGAAUUGUAUUGAUAGGAAACUCAGAUACAUGUGUGGAUACAUAGACAACACCAUGUCCCUAGUAAGCCUCUAGUUGACUAGCUCGUUGAUCAAUAGAUGGUUACGGUUUCCUGACCAUGGACAUUGGAUGUCGUUGAUAACGGGAUCACAUCAUUAGGAGAAUGAUGUGAUGGACAAGACCCAAUCCCAAGCCUAGCACAAGAUCGUGUAGUUCAUUUGCUAAGAGCUUUUCUAAUGUCAAGUAUCAUUUCCUUAGACCAUGAGAUUGUGCAACUCCCGGAUACCGUAGGUAUGCUUUGGGUGUACCAAACGUCACAACGUAACUGGGUGGCUAUAAAGGUGCACAACAGGUAUCUCCGAAAGUGUCUGUUGGGUUGGCACGAAUCGAGACUGGGAUUUGUCACUCCGUGUAAACGGAGAGGUAUCUCUGGGCCCACUCGAUAGGACAUCAUCAUAAUGUGCACAAUGUGACCAAGGAGUUGAUUACGGGAUGAUGUGUUACGGAACGAGUAAAGAGACUUGCCGGUAAUGAGAUUGAACAAGGUAUCGGGAUACCGACGAUCGAAUCUCGGGCAAGUAACAUACUGAUAGACAAAGGGAAUUGUAUACGGGAUUGAUUGAAUCCCCGACAUCGUGGUUCAUCCGAUGAGAUCAUCGUGGAACAUGUGGGAGCCAACAUGGGUAUCCAGAUCCCGCUGUUGGUUAUUGGCCGGAGAACGUCUCGGUCAUGUCUGCAUGGUUCCCGAACCCGUAGGGUCUACACACUUAAGGUUCGAUGACGCUAGGGUUAUAGGGAAUAGAUAUACGUGGUUACCGAAUGUUGUUCGGAGGCCCGGAUGAGAUCCCGGACGUCACGAGGAGUUCCGGAAUGGUCCGGAGGUAAAGAUUUAUAUAUGGGAAGUCCUGUUUUGGUCACCGGAAAAGUUUCGGGUGCUAUCGGUAACGUACCGGGACCACCGGGAGGGUCCCGGGGGUCCACCAGGUGGGGCCACUGGCCCCAGAGGGCUGCGUGGGCCAAGUGUGGGAGGGGACCAGCCCCAGGUGGGCUGGUGCGCCCCCCCACAAGAGGCCCAGGGCGCAGGAAGGGGGGGAAGGGGGAAACCCUAGGCUAAGAUGGGCCUAAGGCCCAUCUAGUAGGGCGCCCCCCUCUCUCCCCCCCUUGGCCGCCCCCAAGUCCCAUCUAGGGCUGGCCGCACCCCUUGGGGGGGGGAACCCUAGAUGGGGGCGCAACCCCUCCCCUUCCCCUAUAUAUAGUGGGGGUUUGGGGCUGCCAGAGACAUGAGACUUCCUCUCUCUUGGCGCAGCCCUACCCCUCUCCCUCCUCCUCCUCUCCCGCGGUGCUUGGCGAAGCCCUGCAGGAUUGCCACGCUCCUCCAUCACCACCAUGCCGUUGUGCUGCUGCUGGACGGAGUCUUCCCCAACCUCUCCCUCUCUCCUUGCUGGAUCAAGGCGUGGGAGACGUCACCGGGCUGCACGUGUGUUGAACGCGGAGGCGCCGUGGUUCGGCCCUUAGAUCGGAAUCAACUGCGAUCUAAAUCGCUACGAGUACGACUCCUUCAUCCGCGUUCUUGCAACGCUUCCGCAUCGCGAUCUACAAGGGUAUGUAGAUGCAGUCCCCUUCCCCUCGUUGCUAGAUUACUCCAUAGAUUGAUCUUGGUGAUGCGUAGAAAUUUUUGAAUUUCUGCUACGUUCCCCAACAUUGAGAUGCCUGGUUUUCAAAUUCUAGUAAAUCCAAAACUCGUCUGAAAUUCAUGAAACUUGGCAUGCUAUCAUGGAGCGGCAUCAACAUGCCGUGAUGCAAAUUUUGUCCCAUUUGGGGCAGGUUUGGGUAUAUGCUUCUCACAAACCGAAUCUUCUCACAACAAGCAUGAUGGUUUUCGGUAGUAAACGUCCCACCUUUGUGGACGAAAUGAUAUCCAUUGCCUUUUAUUGCUUUCAAAAUUUUUUCUCGUGUCAACAUAGAACAACAGGAGUGUUGUGUGAUUUUUCGGGGUUCGUUUGGACAUUUUUAUUCAGUAACUGAGUUUUCAAUGCAUUUUAUGUGCAUAAUUCAAAUUUAAACUACAUGCACAUGCUCUAGUGCAUAUAAAUUGGUUGAAAAAUCAAAUAUGUGUCCUUGGGUGCAUGCUUAGGUCCCAUGCAAGAAAUUGGAAUGAAUUUCAAACACCAGGGCACCGUUGAUUGCCUGCAAAACAUUGAGAUGCCUAAUUUUUAAAUUCUAGUAAUUCAAAAUUAUGUUAACCAUUCACGUCACGCCACGUGUCUUGGUUUUAAUGGCUGUAGGAGGUGCCGUGCGGACAGCUGCUUGACCUUGACUGAACGGGAGGCGUGCGAGCGCCGUCCGGUGCGCAGGCUGACCGAGAGGCGUGCAAGCUGUCCUUGAGUGCGCGGGCUCACCGGGAAGCGUGCGAGCUGUACGCUGCGUAGGCUCAUUGGGAAGCGAGCCCUUUGACUUCCAUGGCCGCAUGCCUUGCUCGCAUCCUCUCCAUUAAUGGCGCCCAAGCCGCAGUUUAAUUCGCUUUUUAAAUAUAUAACACUCAUCGCAAACGUUUUAGUUUAGAACACCCGUAUGCAAAUCGACAGCUUCCCCAGGAAGCCAAGAGAAAAUGUGCCGAGCAGGAUUUCUGCAGCUCUUGAUCGCAAACGUUUUAGAUAGAACACCCGUAUGCAAAGUGAGAGCAGCGCAGGAUUUGUGCAUCCCUUCAACGCAAACGGUUAUUUUGGAUGACCCGUGUGCAACCACGUACAAACAAUUUGGUAAGAUUUGUCAAUCCUUGUAACACUGCGAUUUGUCAAAAUAUGAAGCUACAAAUCACUAGCAGCAUCUAAUUUUUGCAACUAAAAUUCAGUAAUUAAGCAUAAAUUUCAUUCAUAGAUUAAGCAGUCGUACUUAAUUUAUACAAACAGUUCAACUCGACAGUUGUACCGUCUAAACUUUUCCCCAAUUGUUGCCAACCAUGUACUGAAAUAGCUAGUUCAACUAUAUAUAAUAGCUAAUUUUAAGUACGUUGUAUAGUUCCACCACAUCUAUAGUCAGAUGAACUGAACAAAAUAGCCCCUAAAUACUACUACUACUUGUGGGUCACCAACUUGUGGUAUGGAGGGAGUUGUGGCGGCGAGGAGCAUGGUGAGCUCGGCGCUGAGCACGGACAGCCACGGUAGAUGAGGAGAGCUUGUUCAGGCGACUAAAUCAUGGAGAGUUUAUGAGAAGUUGGGCUAACAAGUCGGGUGGUUAGUGUUGGGCUUAUAGGCAUAGCGCAUACUUUGAAUGCGUCCCGCAGCCAUGAGAUCAAAAUAUAAUCGAAGACAUACGAUAGGCCUAACGAUUGCUUCACGUCAGAGUUAAUACGGAAAUGUUUUAUUUUUCUUUACUCCACAUAUAAGAUUUGUUUUAAGUCAAAACUUCAUAAAAUUUCCAUGAUUGAAGAAAGGUGCGCAACAGUCGGUUUUUACUAAAUACUGGUUUUCUACAAUUUGAAAGGGAUAGGCGCGUGGGGCUGGUUUCUAGGAGGAGAAAAGGAAAACGAAAUUGUGAGAGAAUAUUUGGAUAGACACCAUGUUGGGAAGAUAUCUGGUGAUACCAAGGCUUACGUGGUACCAUGAUAUGGGCUCCUGGGAGCUGUUGAAUCUCAGAUUCGACGGCCCUGAGGAGUUCUUGAACAUUUUACAAAAAAAUCAUUAAAAGUUUCAAAAUUGCGCAUAGGUAUAGUACCUCUUUAGAUGUCGGAGCUGAGAUCCAAUGGCCAAGAAAGUUGUAUAAAAAUAUUAGUUCUCAAAAAAUGUUAAUCAUGUAUUUAAAAAAUGCUAAGCGUGUAUAUACAAAAUAUUUCUGACAUAUAUGAAAAAUGUCGAAUGUGUACUAAAAAAUUUAAAACGUGUUUAACAAAAAAGGAAAAAAUAUAAUUCAACAGAAAAAAUAAUAAAAUUUAUCAAAACAAAAACACAGAGACACAAAAAGAGAAGAAUGUGAAAAACGAAAGAAAAUAGUGCAAAAUAAUGGAAAUAGAGAAACUUAAGAUAGAAACAAAGAAAAUAGAUGAAAAUCAAGAAGGAAACAAAUUAAAAUGAAGAAAAACAUAAAAACAAAUGAAAUCAGAGAAAGAAACGAAGGAAAAUAGAGAAACAAAAUAGAAAAUCAGAUAAGAAAAGAAAAAAUAGUAAAAGAAAAUAAAGAAAGACAGUGAAGAAACAAAGGAAAAAGAAAAGAAAAACAAAUAAAACAGAGAAAGAAAGGAAUAAAACCAAUGAAAAAACAAAGAAAAAC
rnacentral:lncRNA from 1 species